rnacentral:lncRNA from 1 species
GCCCAGGUACUGAAGCACACACUUGUCAGGGUAGCGGAUGACGGGUCUCAUAACAGAUGAAAGCAUUCUGAAAUAGUCUGGGGAAUAUGGCUAAGGCAAUGUCUAAUAUAUGUUGCUUAUAAAGGAGAACAAAAAAACCUUAGCUUGCUUCUCUCCCACACCCACCCUGAGUAGAAUACCAAGUGCCUGAACCAGAGAGAGUGCACCUAAAAUAAAGAUUUCCCUCACCCUUCACCAAACACACACAAUCAUGCACAUGUGCACACUCACACACACUAAAAGGAGAGCCCAGGUUUCUGGGCUCUGACAAUGUAUCAAACUCAGAUGUAUGAAGGCAGAGAUGUGAGGAUCCAAGCAGCAUCCCUGUUACCAACCUCAAGAGCAGGACACUUUAAACAUCCCAGUUAUGGCAUAGACUUGGGAACACUGGGUUUUUUGUUUGUUUUUGCAAAGGUCUCCUGAGUUUCCUUCAAGGGAUAUGAGCCCCUUUGGCAGCAAGGAGGUAUACUACAAUACAGGGGACCUAUCUGUGAUCCUCACUUUUUCACCUUCUUCACUGUAAAUAAGAUUACCAAAGUAAAAACCAAAGCUUGUAUUCACCAGAGCCUAACAAUAUCAUUACAAGUACUCAAUAAAUGUGUUGAAUAAAUAAAAAACUGCAAAUUACAACACAUGCUGAGUCAACCGGCACUAGGUCACUGCAAUCACAGGCAAUUAAAACAAACAAACAUGGAGAACUGACUCUCGGGGCUCAACUUCUCAGUGUUCGUGCACAAUCAGACACAGUGAAUUCAUAAGCCUCUGAUCCAAGCUCAAUUUUCAGCAAAAGAAUUGCCUCCCUACAAAAUGCUAAAGAAGAGGCACAAUGAGACUGGCAAUAAAUGUUGUUGGCAUGAGCAAAGGAUGGUUUGAUCACAUCCAAGAGUAAUGGUUGGCUUACCAUCAAAAUUCAAGAACGCUACAAAAACCAGGACUGCUUGAUCUGGAUCCUGUACAUAGGCUUUAGGUCAGGGCUCAUCUGUAAAACAGGGCUGCAGCAUUUCCAACUGAUUUUGUAGUUCUUGUCCAAGAAAAGAGAAUAAUGGGAAACAGCUAGAUAUAGUCCCAGGGACUGAAAAGCUUAUACUUACAAUCUUACUGACUUGGAUCACAUUGAUCUGGCCCCAUGCAGAAUUGCUUUUGUUGAAUGGGGUAUUGUUGAAGAUGCUAUAAACUGCUCAAAGUACUCUUUAUAAAAGCUCACCAGAGGCAAUUCUUUCCUUGGGCCUCAGUGCCAGCAAAAGCUGUCCUUUUACUUGACAUGUUCAUCUUACAGACACUGCAGACCUUGUAACUGAUUUUCUCUUUUUGCUUUCCCUGCCAGGAGCUACCAGUUGAAUUGUAAGUCUCCCUCUUUAGCACUGUGAAGGAUAUCACAACAUGCUUUUUUUUUUUUUUUUUUUUNNNNNNNNNNNNNNNNNNNNNNNNNNNNNNNNNNNNNNNNNNNNNNNNNNNNNNNNNNNNNNNNNNNNNNNNNNNNNNNNNNNNNNNNNNNNNNNNNNNNNNNNNNNNNNNNNNNNNNNNNNNNNNNNNNNNNNNNNNNNNNNNNNNNNNNNNNNNNNNNNNNNNNNNNNNNNNNNNNNNNNNNNNNNNNNNNNNNNNNNNNNNNNNNNNNNNNNNNNNNNNNNNNNNNNNNNNNNNNNNNNNNNNNNNCUGGGAUUACAGGCGUGAGCCACCGCGCCCGGCCACAAUGUGCAUUUUUAUAUACUCACUCUGGGCCACAGGCAGUGGCUCACACCUAUAAUCCUAACACUUUGGGAGGCCAAGGUAGAAGGAUUGCCUGAGGCCAGGAAUUCAAGACCAGUCUGGGCAACAUAGCAAAACCCUUUCUCUACAAAAAUUUAACAAAUUAGCCAGGUGUGGUAGUGCAUGUCUAUAGUCCCAGCUACUCAGGAGGCUGAGUCAGGAGGAUUACUUGAGCCUGAAGGUUUAAGGCUGCAGUGAGCUAGGAUCGUGCCACUAUACAACAGCCUGAAUGACAGAGUGAGACCCUGUCUCAAAUGAAUUAAUUAAUUAAAAUACUCACUCUAGUUCCAUUUUGCUAGUCACUUUUAUUUUUCCUGAACCCUAAAGCCUUUAUUGUGGCGAUUCCUCAGGUAUCUAGAACUAGAAAUACCAUUUGACCCAGCCAUCUCAUUACUGGGUAUACACUCAAAGGAUUAUAAAUCAUGCUGCUAUAAAAACACAUGCACAUGUAUGUUUAUUGUGGCCCUAUUCACAAUAGCAAAGACUUGAAACCAACCCAAAUGUCCAACAAUGAUAGACUUGAUUAAGAAAAUGUGGCACAUAUACACCAUGGAAUACUAUGCAGCCAUAAAAAAGGAUGAGUUCAUGUCCUUUGUAGAUACAUGGAUGAAACUGGAAAUCAUCAUUCUCAGCAAACUAUCGCAAGGACAAAAAACCAAACACCACAUGUUCUCACUGAUAGGUGGGAACUGAACAGCGAGAACACAUGGACAGAGGAAGGGGAACAUCACACUCCGGGGACUGUUGUGGGGUGGGGGGAGGCAGGAGGGAUAGCAUUAGGAGAUAUACCUAAUGCUAAAUGACAAGUUAAUGGGUACAGUACACCAACAUGGCACAUGUAUACAUAUGUAACAAACCUGCACAUUGUGCACAUGUACCCUAAAACUUAAAGUAUAAUAAUAAAAAAUAAAAAAUAAAAAAUAAAAAAUAUUGGCCAGGUGCAGUGUCUCACACCUGUAAUCCCAGCACUUUCAGAGGCCAAGAUGCGAAGAUCACUGGAGACCAGGAAUUUGAGACCAGCCUGGGCAACACAGCCAGACCCUGUCUCCACAAAAAAUAAAAAUUAAAUUAGCUGGGCAUGUUGGCAUUCACCCGAAGUCCCAGCUACACAGGAGGGUGAGGCAGUAGGAUCCCUUGAGCCCAGGAAUUUGAGGCUGCAGUGAGUUAUGAGCAUGCCACCGCACUCCAGUCUAGGCAACACUGUGAAACUCUGUCCCAAAAAAUAUGUAUGUACAUAUAUACAUAGGCACUAUCUGACCCAGUAAUCUCACUCCUCAGGAUCUAUCCUAGGGAUUUCAAGAGAAAAUAUCCUUAUGUCAAAAGAUGUUCAUUGUGGUAUUAUUUAAAUAGCCAAAAUGUCCAACAAAGGAGAUUAUUAAGUAAAUCAUGUGAAAUCUAUUCAGUGAAAGGGUAUGCAUCAUAAUUCAACAUGAUCGUUCUGGAGCCUACACCAUGAGAUGGUGCCUAUGACAGACUAAGUGAUCAAAGACAGAACAGUAUUUAGCCUCUGAUUAGACCAGGAGCCCAGGGGCAUCAGGACUGAACGAUAGUACAGAAAAUCAGUAAGAGUUACUUUGCUAGGGUAGUGGAAUUAUAGCUACCAUUUUCUAGUUUUUCUAGGUUUCCUUUAUUGAUCCAUUAAUGUUUGUUAAAAUUUUAUUAAAAUAUACAAACAUUUGCAUUUCAAUUCUUUCUUCAGUGUUAACACUGGGAUUUCACCUUCUGGAUCCUGGUGUCCCUAUCAGCAGCAGCCACCAGAGAACUAACCACUGGUACUCUUUUGAGUCCUCUACUCUAAUGACUGCCUGGCCCAGGAUCUCAGGCAGACAAUUCAAUUAACCUUCAUGGCAAUGAUCACUCAGACCCAGACCCCAAUCCUACCUGAUUGCAACAAGGCUACAUAUCUGGAUGUGACUCUCAGGAGGGAUUAAAUUAAAAGACACUGAAUAUUUAAGUUUAAGUAUAAUUGAAAUUUAAUAAGUCUACCAAAUUCAGAGAGGAUUUUUAAAUGCUAAUACCCAAUGCUAAAUACAGUACAGUCAUAAAAAAGAUCACCUAGAGAAACCUGAUAUAAUCUUUCUGUAGAACAAUUUGAAUAUAUCUGUACAACAGUCCUUAAAAUAUUCAUACUCUUUGGCCCAGUUAUUAUACCUCUAUCAGGAACAAUCAGUGAGGUGGGCAUGGUGGUAUGUGCCUAUAAUCCCAGCUACUCAAGAAACUGAGGUGGGAGGAUCACUUGAGCCCAGGAGUUCAGGAAUAGCCCAGGAAACAGAGUGAGACCCUGUCUCAAAAAAAACAACAAAGAAUCAGUGGAUAAAUAUUUAUGUACAAGGAUGUUUGCUGCAGAAGUCAUAAGGCAAAAAAACAGUAAAAUAAUCUAAAUGCCGUUCAAAAAAGAACUAGUUAAAUAAACUGUAAUACAUCCAAGUGAUGAAAUAUUAUGCUGGCACAAAAAAAAUUGUUUUUGAAGAACAUUCAUGACAUGGCAACAAACCAGAGAGAGAACAUUAAACUUAAAAAAACACGAUACAAAACUGUAUUUUCAACUCGAUAACAACUCUGUGUGUGUGUGUGUGUGUGUGAGAGAGAGAGAGAGAGAGAGAGAGAGGAGAAUAAAAGGACUGAAAUGCCAAAUAGAUCAAAUGAAGCUGGUCAUUUCUAGGUACUGAGAUAAUAAGUGAAAUAUUUUCUUAAGUCUUCUGUACUGAAUAUCACCCUACAACCAGACACAGCCACAUAGCCCCAAAAGCACUGUCCACUGUGUCAGAAGGGCAGGGCGGUACUCACACGGAUGGUGCAGUCUCCUUUGCUCUUCUCUCGAUGGGCUUCCUCCAGGUCCUUCUCCAGUCUCUCCCUCUCCUGCUGCAAGUCACUCAGCUCCUGGGUGAUCUUCUUAAUGCUUCUACGCAGUCUGUGGUUCUCUGUACUCUUGGUGAGGUUUUGUGAGCGCAGCGCAGCCGAAAGGGCUUUCUUUCCUGAUAGAGCAGUCUCAUAGUCUUCAGACCCCUAGAAGAGAAGGCAGAGAAGCAAGAUGAGCUAAUUUUCAUACCUCAUGAAACAAACCAAGAAACCUGGGCUCUUUUUCGCCAUGGGGGAAAAAAAGAAAAGAAAAAGAUUAACAUAGACAACAUUCAGAAACCAAAGCAAAAAUAAUAGGAAGAUUUUGGAAUAACAUAAGAUAAUGUUUCUUAUGAUGUGGAUGGUUGUACGAAAGAAGUAUUUUCUUAAAGGACCAGAAAAAAAGCACAAAUUCUCAGCUGGGCACAGUGGCUCACACCUGUAAUCCCAGCACUUUGGGAGGCUGAGGCAGAUGGAUCAUGAGGUCAGGAGUUCAAGACUAGCCUGGCCAACACGGUGAAACCCCGUCUCUGCUAAAAAUACAAAAAUUAGCCAGGCGUGGAGGUGGGUGCCUGUAGUCCCAGCUACUCGGGAAGGCUGAGGCAGAGAACUGCAUGAACCCGGAGGCGGAGG